GAAAUGCAGAGUGGUUUCUGUUAAAGGAAACAGUUAAAAGAGGAAGCAAAAGUCUUGGGUGGAAUAUGGGGCCCCAAAACGGAAUGUUUGUUAAGGAUCCUGAAAAAGAAAUUCCUUCUAGUCCCCCUCUUCCCCUCUGGGGAAUUUAUGUCAGUAGAAGGAAGUGACAAUGCUUAGAGACAGGUAGUAAAACUCCUGUGAUUAAUGAAAAUUAAGAACACUGGGUGUGACUUUGAGUAAAUGUGAGACAUUCGCGAAAACAAUUAGGAAAAGAAACUACAGUGAUAUCUCGAAAUAAAUCUUGAGGAUUUAUCAUUCC